rnacentral:lncRNA from 1 species
AAUUGCUUCCCAAUGUCUGUUUUUUUUUCAGAUUAAAGCCUGAGCUUUUAACUUCAGUAAGUCAUUGUAGGCUUGAGAGAGGAUGUGUUAUUGAAUACCUGGAUCUGAGAGAACAAGUGCUACAAACUCACUCAGUCAACACAACCCUUAGAGGAGUCUGUCAUGGAGAGACAGAUUAACCAGCAGUAUAGGCUGCAUCAAGGGCAGCCUGCCUCCUUUACCUCAUGCAGAGCUUCUUGGAAGCAUGAGGUUGCAAAGAAUGAAGGUUUGGUCUUUUCAUGAAAUUAUGAAGUUCUAGAGAACUCUUCAGCAAAACACUGCAUUCUUCCAAAAACAUGAAUUAGAUAAUGUAAGUAUUAUGCUUCUUAGACU